AUAGAUUUAGGGCAACAUUUGUGUGCGAAGCAUUGUGCGAAGUGCAAAAAAUACCAUAAACCUCAUUAUAAUCUUGCAGUGUGAUUUAAUCUGAAAAUGUUCUUCAACGAUGUCCGUUAUGAGGAGGACUAUGUAAGGGAUCAUCAACGAGAGGCUUCGUGUUCUAUGGAAAAUAAUAAACGACUUGGUAGGUGUGUUCCACGAACGCAUAGAGCCCUGAGUUGAUUAUCUCUUAUAUACUGUACCAUGGCUAUAAUUUAACACAUUUGCCGCUCAAAAUGUUUUCAUUUGGCAGUAGAAAUGUGUUCAAUAUCCACUGAAGUAGGAAGCAAGUUUACUAAAUAGCUACAGUAGUUGCCUUGGUAACCAAACAGACUUGCUAGGUUAGCUAACCAAACCAUCAGUCCUAGCUUGCUAUUAUGAAAAUCUAAUUCAACAAUACCAAUGUUUUCAAUUCGACUUUUGCUGCCAAAAGCAGCAUGGAACAUAAGAAUGAACUAUAGCCAUUGAAUUCUACCGUGCUGAUAUACCGUGCGUUAUAGGGAAAUAAUGCACGCUCUAGAAUGCCCUUCAAUCCAAUCAGGAACAACUAUUUAACAAUGCCAUGGUAUAAAUUAAAAAACGGAGCAAUACAUAAAUAGAUUCCUCUUCAAAACGCACACUGUUGAAGAAAAGUUUCAUUCAAUUCCCAUGAUAAUGAGGUUUAUGGUAAGUUUUCCACUUUGCAGUGCACAAUACUUUUGCACCUAUAGCCUAAUCAUGACUCUGGUGUUAACCAUACCCACACUAUACAAUAAUCACUCAGUGUGUGUGUGUGUGUGUGUGUGUGUGUGUGUGUGUAAGUCAGACCUGCAGAUGGAGUUUGAAGAGCUGGUGUCCAGCGCCAGGAGACUAAGUCUCAGCAGCACAGAAAAGCAGAAGAGAGGAAGCAUUGCCAAUGCUGACUCUAGGAUGGACCGCAAGAGAGAGGUUCUGCCAGCAGACGAAACAGGAGAUAGCUGACAUCCACAGAGAUCGACUCAUCCACAACAUGGAACUCAACAGGUAGGAAACUAACACAUUGUCCUCACUGAUGUUUUAGUCACUUUGACAAAUAUUGAUUUAGAACUGAACUGCCGCUUUAACCUUUCCUGUGUUUCCUUUUCUUGUGUGUCCAGGAUGAAGAAAGAGAUUUUCAGUGACCGAAUGGAGGUGAAGAUCGCCAGCGAGGGAAUCAUGAAUAAAUGGGUAGCUGAACUCUCCACUGAAUAGUUAUAUAAUAUCUGUACUCUAACCAACUUUUGUCACAUAAAUUAAACUACAAGGGUUUGGAGAACACAAACAGUACAGACUCUACGUGAUACAGAGCCUUCCGUCUGUCUGUGUGUGUUCAGAACCACCCCCCGUACCGCCAGCGUCUGCAGAAGGGAGAGGGGAAAGAGAGGAAAGAGGACUCAGAGGAGGUGAAGAAUACAAACCAACCUUCUGUUUCUCCAGAGAACCAAAAGACAGCUGGACAAUGACACUGCAACUUUCAGCACAGUGUCUCCCUCUCUCUCUCUCUUUCUCUUUAUGCCACUCAGAUCUACAGAACAUGAUGUCAGUGUUUUGUGCUACAUUAAUAUAUAUUUUACAUUUGUUUUCAUUGAAAUUCACCCAGAUGAUUUAAAUGCCAAUCUUCACACUUCACUAUCUAAAUCGCACUGUGAUUAUUUCCCUUCAGUCUGAUCUCCCUUUCUCAGACGCUGACUUGAAACAGUGUGUGUGUGUGUCGGGCCAGAGCAGGGCCAGUGUGUUUUAUGACAGGCUCAUGUCCUGCCUGAGUGAAGUCAUGAAGGCUCAUUACAGAAACAUAUUACCUCUCAGAGACUCACAGCACACCAGAGAAUAGAGAGAGAGAGAGAGAGAGAGAGUGUGUGUGUGUGUGUGUGUGUGUGUGUGUGUGUGUGUGUGUGUGUGUGUGUGUGUGUGUGUCAGAAGAAGAAAACAAAUCUACAGUAAAAUGAAUGAUACAUACAGCAAACAAAAAAAGUUAUAAAAAAAUACAAUGCUAGAGCUUGAGACUAAGGUUCUAUCUGCAAAAAGAUCAUUCUGAGAUAACUGGCUUUAAAGUUCCGAACCCUCAUUGGUUUGAAUAGUGUCAGCAAUUUUGAUAUUGUAUUAUUUUGAACUUAACAUGAAAUGGGGGUAUUUAAUGUUCUAUACAGGUAGAGAACAUUGAACAGAACAAGGCUAUGUCAAUAACUACAUUCUGACUAAAAUGCAGAUAGAACCUUCUAGUCCCAACAAUGACUUGUGAAAAGUAUUUUUUUAGAAUUUGAGUUCUUUCCACGUUCAUCUCAUUCCUGGUUCUGAGAAGCUAUGCCAUUCUCCUCUGGUUCUGAGAAGCUGUGACAUUCUCCUCUGGUUCUGAGAAGCUGUGACAUUCUCCUCUGGUUCUGAGAAGCUAUGACAUUCUCCUCUGGUUCUGAGAAGCUGUGACAUUCUCCCCUGGUUCUGAGAAGCUGUGACAUUCUCCUCUGGUUCUGAGAAGCUAUGACAUUCUCCUCUGGUUCUGAGAAGCUGUGACAUUCUCCUCUGGUUCUGAGAAGCUAUGACAUUCUCCUCUGGUUCUGAGAAGCUGUGACAUUCUCCUCUGGUUCUGAGAAGCUAUGACAUUCUCCUCUGGUUCUGAGAAGCUAUGCCAUUCUCCUCUGGUUCUGAGAAGCUGUGACAUUCUCCUCUGGUUCUGAGAAGCUAUGACAUUCUCCUCUGGUUCUGAGAAGUUGUGACAUUCUCCUCUGGUUAUGAGAAGCUGUGACGUUAUCCUCUGGUUCUGAGAAGCUGUGACAUUCUCCUCUGGUUCUGAGAAGCUGUGACAUUCUCCUCUGGUUCUGAGAAGCUGUGACAUUCUCCUCUGGUUCUGAGAAGCUGUGACAUUCUCCUCUGGUUCUGAGAAGCUAUGACAUUCUCCUCUGGUUCUGAGAAGUUAUGACAUUCUCCUCUGGUUCUGAGAAGCUGUGACGUUAUCCUCUGGUUCUGAGAAGCUGUGACAUUCUCCUCUGGUUCUGAGAAGCUGUGACAUUCUCCUCUGGUUCUGAGAAGCUGUGACAUUCUCCUCUGGUUCUGAGAAGCUAUGACAUUCUCCUCUGGUUCUGAGAAGCUAUGACAUUCUCCUCUGGUUCUGAGAAGCUGUGACAUUCUCCUCUGGUUCUGAGAAGCUGUGAAGUUUUCCUCUGGUUCUGAGAAGCUGUGACAUUCUCCUCUGGUUCUGAGAAGCUGUGACAUUCUCCCCUGGUUCUAAGAAGCUGUGACAUUCUCCUCUGGUUCUGAGAAGCUGUGACAUUCUCCUCUGGUUCUGAGAAGCUGUGACAUUCUCCUCUGGUUCUGAGAAGCUGUGACGUUCUCCUCUGGUUCUGAGAAUUUGUGACAUUCUCCUCUGGUUCUGAGAAUUUGUGACAUUCUCCUCUGGUUCUGAGAAGCUGUGACGUUCUCCUCUGGUUCUGAGAAACUGUGACGUUCUCCUCUGGUUCUGAGAAGCUGUGACAUUCUCCUCUGGUUCUGAGAAGCUGUGACGUUCUCCUCUGGUUCUGAGAAGCUAUGACAUUCUCCUCUGGUUCUGAGAAGCUGUGACAUUCUCCUCUGGUUCUGAGAAGCUGUGCCAUUCUCCUCUGGUUCUGAGAAGCUGUGACGUUCUCCUCUGGUUCUGAGAAGCUGUGACAUUCUCCUCUGGUUCUGAGAAGCUGUGACAUUCUCCUCUGGUUCUGAGAAGCUGUGAUGUUCUCCUCUGGUUCUGAGAAGCUGUGACAUUCUCCUCUGGUUCUGAGAAGCUGUGACAUUCUCCUCUGGUUCUGAGAAGCUAUGACAUUCUCCUCUGGUUCUGAGAAGCUAUGACAUUCUCCUCUGGUUCUGAGAAGCUAUGACAUUCUCCUCUGGUUCUGAGAAGCUGUGACAUUCUCCUGUGGUUGUGAGAAGCUGUGACAUUCUCAUCUGGUUCUGAGAAGCUGUGACAUUCUCCUCUGGUUCUGAGAAGCUGUGACAUUCUUCUCUGGUUCUGAGAAGCUGUGACAUUCUCCUGUGGUUCUGAGAAGCUGGGACAUUCUCCUCUGGUUCUCACCAUGUGAUGUGUUGACUGCCCCGUGAGAUAUCAAUAACUGUGCUUUGUCAGAAGUUUAUACUCCCCAGUGUUUCUGUUUCAGGAUCCCUAGAACACACAC
rnacentral:lncRNA from 1 species